GCCAGGCGCAGUGGUGCCCGCCUGUCAUCCCAGCAGCUCAGGAGGCUGAGGCAGGAGGAUCACAAGGUGGAGGCCAGCCUCAGCCACUUACGAGGCCCUGAGCAACUCGGCGAGACCCUGUCUCUA
rnacentral:sRNA from 1 species